AAACAAGUCAGAUCCAUAGUGACCUUAAAUAGGAUAUCAGCUACCAAAAGGUCUAUUCAGGGCUCUUCAUGCUCCAAAAGAUCAGAGCUGUUUUGGCGGCACGAGGGAAACAUACACAAUAUUAAAUCAGACUGCAGAGGCCAUGUUGAGGGUCCCUGCCACCUGAUACACCUAGCUGCCGAAAGGGCAUCCAGGGAGCUUUGUGUGAAUGUGGAAGACUUCCUUGUCACCAUUUACUACUAUCUGGAUAAAAGCAGCAAGAGGAAGUCAAAUCUGCGUGAUGUUCAGGUCAUGUGUAAUACAGAGGUUAGGAAGAUCUUCAAGAUGGCUUCAACCAGAUGGCUCUUUCUGGGGCAGUGUGUGAACCGUCUUUUGUAACAGUGGGGGAUGCACUUACAGUUUUCUUUGAAAAUGAGGUGAAUGCAGGGAAGAAAAAGAAGACCUCAGUUUCCUCUAAUAUGCCAAAGUCUGCUGCUAGUCAUGUUAAAAAAUCUAAAGCCACACCCUCCACCAGUUUACCUGCAACAGUGCAGCCCAAGGUGUUCUCUUUCACCCUACCUAUGCUGCCCACAUCUUCUCCUGGUCCUGCCAAGAGGUCUAAGGCAACACCGCUUAUAAAACCAAAGGUUAAAGCACCUGCACACAUUGCUCCACAGUUUGACUUGACAAUGUUCCUCUUCAAACAAAAAGAAAUCGGAAAGGGAGCUGCGAAAGAAAAAGUCCAAGUCUGAAAAAAAACAAGAAGAAAAAGGUGAUCUAACAAAACCUGAAAAGGUACUUCAGUUCCUCAUCAACCCUGUGUCAAAGGUCUAUGCACUUUUUCUGCAGAGGGCCAUAUCUAUUUUUGAUCUUGGCAACAAGAUGGCGUUGGUGGUAUAGUGGUGAGCAUAGCUGCCUUCCAAGCAACAAGAUGCUUCAGAAAGAAGAGCCAUGCAUACAUAUCCUGCUGCCAACUUUAGAACUGCAACUGCAAAAGAUAUUGCUUUCGUUAUGUAAACCUGAUGCUGUGAUUACCCUUAUGAAUGAAAUUUACACAGGUAACAGUCCAACACCUUCAUCCAAAGCCAGGGUAACUUGGAACUGAGGUCAUUCUACAGAGAUGUCAGGAAGUUCUUUUUUUCUGCAGCUGACUACAUGAUUUACAAAUUUCCAUUUGGGGAUGUGCUGCUUAUGCAUGCUGAUGUGGCAGACAUAGAGAAGAGGCAGUCAGUGAAAUUCCUUUCACUGAAGUUUUUCAUCAGCCGCUUUCCUUCUAUUCUGCCAGAAAAGGUCACAGUGGAUCAGGUAGAGGAUGAGUUCAAGAUAUAUCAAACCACCAGUUUCGAGGACCGCUUCCUCAGGAAGCGCAUUGAUGAGGCCUGAAGAGACAUUGGCCAGUUGAAGAGGGGAUAUCAGCAAAUUUUCUCCAACCUUACAGCAGUCAUGCUUGGAAUAUUGGUAAUUUUCCAUAGCAAUGCUGAUUGUGAGAGGGUUUUUAGUCUUGUGGGCAAAAACAAGACCCAGUACAGAGCUAGCAUGGGCACUAAUGUUGUAAGUGCUUUGAUGGCAAGAAAGGUGAGUUUGGCUGCAAAGGGAGCGGUUUGUCACAUGGAAAACUUCGGUGAUGCUCUCCUUAGAAAGGCCAAGUCAGCAGGCUAUGAGACAAAAAUAUCAAGAAGUGCCAAAGCUGUUAGGAGUGAUGAAUGACUGAAAAUUGCAUCUCAGGCAAAUAUAUUUGCUUAAAAGGACAUUACAAGGUUGCUAUGAAAAUAUCACACGUUUUGAGAUUUUAUUUAUUUUGUUCAAGGGACACAGCAGUUUUCAGUUAUUUAUAAAGUUUAAAAGACCUUUUGAAAGCUCUUUGUUUUUUCUGUUAUUUAUACAGUAUUUUUUAUACAGUAUGCUAUUUGUUGAUUUUUGUUAUUUAUAAUGUCCCAUGUAUUUAAGUAAUGUUUAAGAGACAUGUUUUUGUUUUUAUGUUGCCUUUUCAAUAAAAGAGUUCUUCAUGG